GCCUCAGUAGCUCAAUUGGUAGAGCAGUUGACUCUUAAUCAAUUGGUUCUAGGUUCGAGUCCUAGCUGGGGUACCA
rnacentral:tRNA from 1 species